rnacentral:rRNA from 1 species
AUUGAACGCUGGCGGCAGGCCUAACACAUGCAAGUCGAGCGGAUGAAGGGAGCUUGCUCCUGGAUUCAGCGGCGGACGGGUGAGUAAUGCCUAGGAAUCUGCCUGGUAGUGGGGGAUAACGUCCGGAAACGGGCGCUAAUACCGCAUACGUCCUGCGGGAGAAAGUGGGGGAUCUUCGGACCUCACGCUAUCAGAUGAGCCUAGGUCGGAUUAGCUAGUUGGUGGGGUAAAGGCCUACCAAGCCGACGAUCCGUAACUGGUCUGAGAGGAUGAUCAGUCACACUGGAACUGAGACACGGUCCAGACUCCUACGGGAGGCAGCAGUGGGGAAUAUUGGACAAUGGGCGAAAGCCUGAUCCAGCCAUGCCGCGUGUGUGAAGAAGGUCUUCGGAUUGUAAAGCACUUUAAGUUGGGAGGAAGGGCAGUAAGUUAAUACCUUGCUGUUUUGACGUUACCAACAGAAUAAGCACCGGCUAACUUCGUG